AACUAUGUGCCAGCAGCCGCGGUGAUACAUAGGCUUCAAGCGUUGUCCGGAUUUAUUGGGCGUAAAGAGUUCGUAGGCGGUCGAGUAAGUCGGGUGUGAAAAUUCUGGGCUUAACCCAGAGACGCCACCCGAUACUGCUUAACUUGAGUUCGAUAGGGGAGUGGGGAAUUCCUAGUGUAGCGGUGAAAUGCGCGGAUAUUAGGAGGAACACCGGUGGCGAAGGCGCCACUCUGGAUCGAUACUUGACGCUGAGGAACGAAAGCAUGGGUAGCAAACAGGAUUAGAUACCCUGGUAGUCCAUGCCGUAAACGGUGGGCACUAGGUGUGGGAUUCUAUUAACGAAUUCCGCGCCGUCGCUAAUGCAUUAAGUGCCCCGCCUGGGGAGUACGGUCGCAAGACUAAAACUCAAGGAAUUGACGGGGGCCGCACAAGCAGCGGAGCGUGUUGCUUAAUUCGAUGCUACGCGAAAAACCUUACCUAGGUUUGACAUGUUUGGAAAAGCAGCGGAGAUGUUGUGUCCGCAAGGGCCAAACACAGGUGGUGCAUGGCUGUCGUCACUCGUGUCGUGAGAUGUUGGUUAAGUCCCGCAACGAGCGCAAGCCUUAUCCAUGUUGCCAGCAAGUAUGUUGGGACUCAUUGAGACUGCCGGGUUAACUCCGAGAAGUGGGAUGACGUCAAGUCUCAUGCCCUAUUGCUAGGCUGCAAACCGCUACAUG
rnacentral:rRNA from 1 species